rnacentral:lncRNA from 1 species
GAGCCAGGGUAACAAGUCAGUGGAGAGAAGCCGAGAGAACAUCAGAACAGCCCUGGGUGCGCCCACAGACAGCAAGAAAGAGCCAAGGACGUGGCCUACUGAAAAAUGUCUCUUGUUGUGUCAGAGGCCAGAAGAAGCCGGAUGAGCUGCCUGCUGGGAAUGCCUGAAACUGACCCUGGGUCCUCUGUAGGAGCAACCAGUGCUCUUAACCAUUGAGCCAUCUCUACAGCAUCCCUCAAGAUUUAUCAUCACCAUCACCACCACCACCAUCAUCACCAUCACCAUCACCAUCAUCAUCACCAUCACUACCACCACCACCAUCAUCAUCAUCACCAUCUUCUUUAAACCAAAAGCAACAUUGCUAGGCCAGGUUGUAUAAACCUGUCAUCCUUGUUUCUGAGAAGGCUGAGGGAGGCAGAUUGAAUGAGCAGAGCCAGCCUGCCCGCCUAUAGCAUCAGAUCCUUUCUCAAGCAAAUGCAAACCAAAUAAGCAAACAAAACAGGGAAGAACACUAGGUUUUGCUGGCCUGGAACUCCCUAUGUAGACCAGGCUAGCUCCAAAAGUCAAGGUUAUCCCCCUGGCUCUGCCUGCUGAGAGAUGGGAUUCCAGACAUGUGCCAUCACAACCAGCAAGACCUGAAGCUUUU